UACGAAGGGUGCAAACGUUGCUCGGAAUCAUUGGGCGUAAAGCGCACGUAGGCGGCUUCGCAAGUCGGAUGUGAAAUCCCUCGGCUCAACCGAGGACGUGCAUCCGAAACUGCGAGGCUUGAGUACUGAAGAGGAUCGCGGAAUUCCCGGUGUAGAGGUGAAAUUCGUAGAUAUCGGGAGGAACACCAGUGGCGAAGGCGGCGAUCUGGGCAGUUACUGACGCUGAGGUGCGAAAGCGUGGGGAGCAAACAGG
rnacentral:rRNA from 1 species